AAAACUUUUCCAAAAGAAAAAAUCUGUUCUUAUCAGUUUAAUAUCUGAUACGUCCCCUAUCUGGGGACCAUAUAUUAAAUUGAUUUUUGGAACAGGGAGAUGGAAUAGGGGCUUGCUCCGUCCACUCCACGCAUCGACCUGGUAUUGCAGUACCUCCAGGAACGGUGCACCCCCU
ensembl:snRNA U2 U2 spliceosomal RNA